rfam:Pelodiscus sinensis unplaced genomic scaffold scaffold49, whole genome shotgun sequence.
CCAAAGGCUCUUUUCAGAGCCACCCACAGUAUCGAGAAAAGAGUUG